UACCCAGAUGUUCCUACAGGGUCUCAGUGU
rnacentral:piRNA from 1 species